AUGGUUCUGGGCAUGGAAGACCCACCUGAGGACUGUUGCCAAUGGCAUAAAAGGAGACCUAAAGGGGAAGAUCGUAUGCUGUUGAUUUUCUUGGAGAAGCUUGUUGUGGUUGGUUUUCCUGGCGCGAACUCAGCUGUUCUCAUCAGAGGAGCACGGGUCUUCCCUGUCACCGAGGAUGGCUGCUGUUCUCUUCAGGGGAGCUCUGGUCUAUGCCUUGAGCGUUGCUUCCUGGCUCCAGUGCAGAGCCCUCAGCCUGGUGGCACAGGUGGACUCCGUGUACCCUGAAAAUGUGUCUGCUGGAAGUCUGGAGCUUGUAUCUUUUUGGUUAACUAUCUGUAAAGUGUGUCCACGUAGGAAAUUUCAGAGAUGGUUCUGACUGAGUAAAAUUUAUGUCUGAAGCAGUCAUUGUGUCUAGAAGGAAUAAUUUGAUCAGCUGUGUGAGAAGGCUUGGGUCAACAAUGGACUCUUUUUUUUAUGAAAGAGUGUUUCAUUACAUACAAAUCAAAAAGGGGGCACAAGAGAUAAAAAUGAAAAACAAUGGCUGCUCACUUCAGGCACCUUGGAG
rnacentral:lncRNA from 1 species